GGUUAAGCGACUAAGCGUACACGGUGGAUGCCCUGGCAGUCAGAGGCGAUGAAGGACGUGCUAAUCUGCGAAAAGCGUCGGUAAGGUGAUAUGAACCGUUAUAACCGGCGAUGUCCGAAUGGGGAAACCCAGUGCAAUUCGUUGCACUAUCGUUAACUGAAUACAUAGGUUAACGAGGCGAACCGGGGGAACUGAAACAUCUAAGUACCCCGAGGAAAAGAAAUCAACCGAGAUUCCCCCAGUAGCGGCGAGCGAACGGGGAGCAGCCCAGAGUCUGAAUCAGCUUGUGUGUUAGUGGAACGGUCUGGAAAGUCCGACGGUACAGGGUGAUAGUCCCGUACACCAAAAUGCACAGGCUGUGAACUCGAAGAGUAGGGCGGGACACGUGGUAUCCUGUCUGAAUAUGGGGGGACCAUCCUCCAAGGCUAAAUACUCCUGACUGACCGAUAGUGAACCAGUACCGUGAGGGAAAGGCGAAAAGAACCCCGGCGAGGGGAGUGAAAAAGAACCUGAAACCGUGUACGUACAAGCAGUGGGAGCACCUUCGGGUGUGACUGCGUACCUUUUGUAUAAUGGGUCAGCGACUUAUAUUCUGUAGCAAGGUUAACCGUAUAGGGGAGCCGCAGGGAAACCGAGUCUUAACUGGGCGUUAAGUUGCAGGGUAUAGACCCGAAACCCGGUGAUCUAGCCAUGGGCAGGUUGAAGGUUGGGUAACACUAACUGGAGGACCGAACCGACUAAUGUUGAAAAAUUAGCGGAUGACUUGUGGCUGGGGGUGAAAGGCCAAUCAAACCGGGAGAUAGCUGGUUCUCCCCGAAAGCUAUUUAGGUAGCGCCUCGUGAAUUCAUCUUCGGGGGUAGAGCACUGUUUCGGCUAGGGGGUCAUCCCGACUUACCAACCCGAUGCAAACUACGAAUACCGAAGAAUGUUAUCACGGGAGACACACGGCGGGUGCUAACGUCCGUCGUGAAGAGGGAAACAACCCAGACCGCCAGCUAAGGUCCCAAAGUCAUGGUUAAGUGGGAAACGAUGUGGGAAGGCACAGACAGCCAGGAUGUUGGCUUAGAAGCAGCCAUCAUUUAAAGAAAGCGUAAUAGCUCACUGGUCGAGUCGGCCUGCGCGGAAGAUGUAACGGGGCUAAACCAUGCACCGAAGCUGCGGCAGCGACACUAUGUGUUGUUGGGUAGGGGAGCGUUCUGUAAGCCUGCGAAGGUGACCUGUGAGGGUUGCUGGAGGUAUCAGAAGUGCGAAUGCUGACAUAAGUAACGAUAAAGCGGGUGAAAAGCCCGCUCGCCGGAAGACCAAGGGUUCCUGUCCAACGUUAAUCGGGGCAGGGUGAGUCGACCCCUAAGGCGAGGCCGAAAGGCGUAGUCGAUGGGAAACAGGUUAAUAUUCCUGUACUUGGUGUUACUGCGAAGGGGGGACGGAGAAGGCUAUGUUAGCCGGGCGACGGUUGUCCCGGUUUAAGCAUGUAGGCUGGUUGUCCAGGCAAAUCCGGAUAAUCAAGGCUGAGGUGUGAUGACGAGGCACUACGGUGCUGAAGUAACAAAUGCCCUGCUUCCAGGAAAAGCCUCUAAGCAUCAGGUAACAUCAAAUCGUACCCCAAACCGACACAGGUGGUCAGGUAGAGAAUACCAAGGCGCUUGAGAGAACUCGGGUGAAGGAACUAGGCAAAAUGGUGCCGUAACUUCGGGAGAAGGCACGCUGGUGUGUAGGUGAAGUCCCUGCGGAUGGAGCUGAGACCAGUCGAAGAUACCAGCUGGCUGCAACUGUUUAUUAAAAACACAGCACUGUGCAAACACGAAAGUGGACGUAUACGGUGUGACGCCUGCCCGGUGCCGGAAGGUUAAUUGAUGGGGUUAUCCGUAAGGAGAAGCUCUUGAUCGAAGCCCCGGUAAACGGCGGCCGUAACUAUAACGGUCCUAAGGUAGCGAAAUUCCUUGUCGGGUAAGUUCCGACCUGCACGAAUGGCGUAAUGAUGGCCAGGCUGUCUCCACCCGAGACUCAGUGAAAUUGAACUCGCUGUGAAGAUGCAGUGUACCCGCGGCAAGACGGAAAGACCCCGUGAACCUUUACUAUAGCUUGACACUGAACAUUGAGCCUUGAUGUGUAGGAUAGGUGGGAGGCUUUGAAGCGUGGACGCCAGUCUGCGUGGAGCCAACCUUGAAAUACCACCCUUUAAUGUUUGAUGUUCUAACGUUGGCCCCUGACCGGGGUUGCGGACAGUGUCUGGUGGGUAGUUUGACUGGGGCGGUCUCCUCCCAAAGCGUAACGGAGGAGCACGAAGGUUAGCUAAUCCUGGUCGGACAUCAGGAGGUUAGUGCAAUGGCAUAAGCUAGCUUGACUGCGAGCGUGACGGCGCGAGCAGGUGCGAAAGCAGGUCAUAGUGAUCCGGUGGUUCUGAAUGGAAGGGCCAUCGCUCAACGGAUAAAAGGUACUCCGGGGAUAACAGGCUGAUACCGCCCAAGAGUUCAUAUCGACGGCGGUGUUUGGCACCUCGAUGUCGGCUCAUCACAUCCUGGGGCUGAAGUAGGUCCCAAGGGUAUGGCUGUUCGCCAUUUAAAGUGGUACGCGAGCUGGGUUUAGAACGUCGUGAGACAGUUCGGUCCCUAUCUGCCGUGGGCGCUGGAGAAUUGAGGGGGGCUGCUCCUAGUACGAGAGGACCGGAGUGGACGCAUCACUGGUGUUCGGGUUGUCAUGCCAAUGGCACUGCCCGGUAGCUAAAUGCGGAAGAGAUAAGUGCUGAAAGCAUCUAAGCACGAAACUUGCCCCGAGAUGAGUUCUCCCUGAGACUUUAAGUCUCCUGAAGGAACGUUAAAGACGAUGACGUUGAUAGGCCGGGUGUGUAAGCGCAGCGAUGCGUUGAGCUAACCGGUACUAAUGAACCGUGAGGCUUAACCUU
rnacentral:rRNA from 1 species